rnacentral:snRNA from 1 species
GCUUUUGCGCAGUGGCAGUAUCGUAGCCAAUGAGGUUUAUCCGAGGCGCGAUUAUUGCUAAUUGAAAAGUGACAAGACCUAGGGUUUUAGUUUUUGGUUUUUUGUUUUUUGU